GUGGGGAAUUUUGGACAAUGGGCGCAAGCCUGAUCCAGCAAUGCCGCGUGCAGGAAGAAGGCCUUCGGGUUGUAAACUGCUUUUGUACGGAACGAAACGGUCCUGGUUAAUACCUGGGGCUAAUGACGGUACCGUAAGAAUAAGCACCGGCUAACUACGUGCCAGCAGCCGCGGUAAUACGUAGGGUGCAAGCGUUAAUCGGAAUUACUGGGCGUAAAGCGUGCGCAGGCGGUUUUGUAAGACAGGCGUGAAAUCCCCGGGCUCAACCUGGGAAUUGCGCUUGUGACUGCAAGGCUGGAGUGCGGCAGAGGGGGAUGGAAUUCCGCGUGUAACAGUGAAAUGCGUAGAUAUGCGGAGGAACACCGAUGGCGAAGGCAAUCCCCUGGGCCUGCACUGACGCUCAUGCACGAAAGCGUGGGGAGCAAACAGGAUUAGAAACCCUGGUAGUCC
rnacentral:rRNA from 1 species